rnacentral:tRNA from 1 species
AAAGAAUUAGUUAAAUAAUAACGUAAAUAUGUCAUAUUUAAAUUAUUAAAAUAUUAAUAUUCUUUU